AGGAAGAGAACAACAUUGAAAAAAAAGGAGACACAAACCAAAAACUUAAAAUAAAAAAGUGGAGAGAAACCAAAAAGGAAAAAUCAGGCACAAUAUAGACAUGCACAGUAAAUAAAAAAAGAGUGAGACACAAAGAGAAAACAAAAGAAAAGACAGAAAUGGGUGACAAUCAGAAAAGGAGAAAAAUGGAAGAAAAAGAAAGGAAAAAGUGGAGGUCGG
rnacentral:lncRNA from 1 species